CACGUGAGCAACUGCCCGUGACUCUGGGAUAAGCGCUGGAAACGGCGUCUAAUACUGGAUAUGUGACGUGAUCGCAUGGUCUGCGUCUGGAAAGAAUUUCGGUUGGGGAUGGGCUCGCGGCUAUCAGCUUGUUGGUGAGGUAAUGGCUCACCAAGGCGUCGACGGGUAGCCGGCCUGAGAGGGUGACCGGCCACACUGGGACUGAGACACGGCCCAGACUCCUACGGGAGGCAGCAGUGGGGAAUAUUGCACAAUGGGCGCAAGCCUGAUGCAGCAACGCCGCGUGAGGGAUGACGGCCUUCGGGUUGUAAACCUCUUUUAGCAGGGAAGAAGCGAAAGUGACGGUACCUGCAGAAAAAGCGCCGGCUAACUACGUGCCAGCAGCCGCGGUAAUACGUAGGGCGCAAGCGUUAUCCGGAAUUAUUGGGCGUAAAGAGCUCGUAGGCGGUUUGUCGCGUCUGCUGUGAAAUCCGGAGGCUCAACCUCCGGCCUGCAGUGGGUACGGGCAGACUAGAGUGCGGUAGGGGAGAUUGGAAUUCCUGGUGUAGCGGUGGAAUGCGCAGAUAUCAGGAGGAACACCGAUGGCGAAGGCAGAUCUCUGGGCCGUAACUGACGCUGAGGAGCGAAAGGGUGGGGAGCAAACAGGCUUAGAUACCCUGGUAGUCCACCCCGUAAACGUUGGGAACUAGUUGUGGGGUCCAUUCCACGGAUUCCGUGACGCAGCUAACGCAUUAAGUUCCCCGCCUGGGGAGUACGGCCGCAAGGCUAAAACUCAAAGGAAUUGACGGGGACCCGCACAAGCGGCGGAGCAUGCGGAUUAAUUCGAUGCAACGCGAAGAACCUUACCAAGGCUUGACAUAUACGAGAACGGGCCAGAAAUGGUCAACUCUUUGGACACUCGUAAACAGGUGGUGCAUGGUGUC
rnacentral:rRNA from 1 species